AACGCACGAGACCUGCGGACCUGCGGAGGGAUCAUUACCGAGUGCGGGCCCUCUGGGUCCACCCUCCCACCCGUGUCUACCGUCCCUUGUUGCUUCGGCGGGCCUGCCCCCCCUCCCGGGGGGGCGGCCGGGGGGCCCUCGCGCCCCCGGGCUCCGUGCCCGCCGGAGACCCCUCCACGAACCCUGUGUGAAGGUUGCCGUCUGAGUGGAUUUAUCCAAAUCGUCAAAACUUUUAACAAC
rnacentral:misc_RNA from 1 species